rnacentral:misc_RNA from 1 species
AAAAUCUAUAUUUUCUUCUCUCUUUCUCUGGCUUCUCCUCUUUCCCCUCUUUCCUUUUCUACCAGCAAUUACGAUUAGCAGCUAAAGGAAUGGGAGUUCCCGUGAUCAAAUUCCCAAUCUUCACCGUAGUCAGGUUAUUGGGGGUGCUAGUCACGGCUCUCGUGCUGACGUGGACGGUGCAUUACAGAGGAGGAUUGGCUCUCGCCUCCGAUAACAAAGAUCUCAUCUUUAAUGUCCAUCCUGUUUUAAUGGUUAUUGGUCUCAUACUCAUCAAUGGUGAAGCCAUGCUAGCCUACAAGACGGUUCCAGGAACAAAAAGCUUCAAAAAAAUUAGUUCAUCUUACAGUACAGUUCCUUGCUUUUUGUUUAAGCCUGAUUGGUGUAUGGGCUGCAUUGAAGUUCCACAAUGAUAAGGGCAUUGACAAUUUUUACAGCUUGCAUUCUUGGUUGGGUCUAGCUUGCCUGUUCCUCUUUGGCAUCCAGUGGGCUGCAGGAUUUGUUACUUUCUGGUACCCAGGUGGCUCAAGAAAUAGCAGAGCCACCUUGCUGCCUUGGCAUGUAUUCUUUGGUGUAUAUAUUUAUGCCCUGGCUGUUGCUACUGCUACUACUGGUAUCUUAGAGAAAGCCACAUUCCUCCAAACCAACAAAGUAAUAUCACG